CCUUAGCAAGAUCCAUUCUACUGGGCUCCUCUCCCCAGAAUAGGUAUGUGCUCAAAACGAUGCUUCAGGAAAAAA